UACGGCGGUCAUAGCGUGGGGGAAACGCCCGGUCCCAUACCGAACCCGGAAGCUAAGGCCCAUUGCGCCGAUGGUACUGCACUCGUGAGGGU
rnacentral:rRNA from 1 species